CUGGAAUACGGAAUCGUCUGUUUUCACCUGGGAUCCUACAGCUAGGGAAGGCCUGAGCCUCGGAACCGGGGUGAUGGCAACACCUGGCAAACACUUCUGGUGGGAAGCACGUUAGCGCAGUGUUUUGUCUGGCGGUACCUAAAUGGCUUUAACAGCCUGCCUUCUAGCUGCUUAGCUGUUUUCUGCCCAAAUUAUGUUUUCAGCAUCCUGGAUCUAGGCUAAAGCAGAGCCUGCAAAGCCCUUCUGAUGGAGCUCCGCAGGAUUUGGAAGCAGCCUCACCUGUCAAUGAGCCAGCAAGGGAUUCAUCACGGGAUCCCUCUCAGCAAUGCUGCAUGAGAAGAAGAUCCACGCCUGUCCCUGCAGAUGUGCUCCAGACGUUGCAUCUCUCCACUGCUAGCUCGGGAUGCCACUUUCCCUUGUUGUGCUUGCAAAGUGCACAAAAACCCUAACCUGCUCCAGCAGCCUCGCACUACCACCGCGUGCGGCACCGCUCGCCGUUAUUAGUAUGGCAAACGGAACAAUAUUGAUUCAGAGGAUUUGUGGUUUACCAGCAUCGUUUCCCUGUUAGCCUUCACACCGACUCAUGAAUACACAUGAAGACCCAAAUAGUUUAAGGAGUGUGAGCAUGUGAGAGCUAUUUGUUUCUGUUGGCCCCACUGCUCCCACAGGGCCGCAUCCAGCACCCACGGGGACCUUCAGUGCUACCUGGAUCGUGGCCACCAAGCCCUUGUUUUUGGAGGCCUCCAUCUGCCUUUGGAGCCCAGGCCUUGCACAAUCUCCUUUAUCUCAGCGUGUGGUUGGAGGGUAACAGGCUGCCUGGCUCUUGACAGGUCAUCUAUUAAAUAUAGAUGGUGCUUUCACAUGCAAUUGUCUGCCGGAUUAUUAUUUUUUUUGGAGGAACAAAAGGCUCCCAUUCACAAGCUCCAGCAUGUCAUGCAGAUAUGAUUAAAAACGUUACGGCAUCAAGAUAUUUCCCCUUUGCUUCGGUGAAUGAAUUCUAAUAGCCCCAAUCAAAUAUAAUAUGGUCAUCAUGAGUUCCUUGGAAAAAUUCCCCAUCAGUGCAGGAAUGGCCAUGGGUCUCCCCUUUGAUUCGCCUUAUUUGUGGCUGGAAUCACUGGUUGGAUUGGGAAGAACAG
ensembl:lncRNA